rnacentral:rRNA from 1 species
GAAGCAGCCACCCUUUAAAGAGUGCGUAAUAGCUCACUAGUCGAGUGCUCUUGCGCGGAUAAUGUACCGGGGCUAAGCAUAUUACCGAAACUGUGGAUGCGUAAGCAUGGUAGGAUAGCGUAAUUAACGCGAUGAAGGAUGACCGUAAGGACAUGUUGGAGCGUUAACUAGUGAGAAUUCCGGUAUGAGUAGCGAAAGAUAGGUGAGAAUCCUAUCCACCGAAUGAGUAAGGUUUCCCCCGGAAGGCUCGUCCGCGGGGGGUUAGUCGGGACCUAAGGCGAGGCUGAAAAGCGUAGUCGAUGGACAACAGGUUGAUAUUCCUGUACCGAUAUUUAAUUGCCGAAGGAAGGACGCAGAAGGAUAACACAGGCCACUAUUGGAUGUGGUUUUAAACAGUUAGUCUUCAUAAGAGUCAAAUGCUUUUAUGUUUAAGGAUAAGCUGUGAAUGUACCAAGUUUACUUGGAAAUUGUGUGAUUUCACGCUGCUGAAAAAAGUUUCGUAGGAAGAAAAUAUUGCCCGUACCGCAAACCGACACAGGUACUCGAGUGGAGAACACUAAGGUGAGCGAGUGAACUAUUGUUAAGGAACUCUGCAAAAUGAGUC